rnacentral:rRNA from 1 species
UACGUAGGGUGCGAGCGUUAAUCGGAAUUACUGGGCGUAAAGCGUGCGCAGGCGGUUUUGUAAGCCAGAUGUGAAAGCCCCGGGCUCAACCUGGGAAUGGCAUUUGGGACUGCAAGGCUUGAGUGCGGCAGAGGGGACUGGAAUUCCUGGUGUAGCAGUGAAAUGCGUAGAUAUCAGGAGGAAUACCGGUGGCGAAGGCAGGUCUCUGGGCUGACACUGACGCUCAUGCACGAAAGCGUGGGGAGCAAACAGG